AAAAAGACAAAACCUGGGUUUCCGUGUCCAACGUUUGACUGUCCGUCUUAUAUGAAAUUUUUUUAUAAUUAGUAUUUUGUUUGUUGUUAAAUGAUAAAACAUGAUCAAUACUUUAUGUGUGACUUGUCUUUUUAAUUUUUUUUAUAAUAUUUUAAAUAAGACGAACGAUUAAACGUUGGACA
rnacentral:pre_miRNA from 1 species